GGCUCGGUAGUGGAUGGUCCACACCUGCAUUCCUUGAUAACUCAUCUCGUCAAAUUAUGCAGGAAGAGCCCGUUCGAUUCGGGCCCGAGCCA